CAGUCGCCGCGGUAAAACGUAGGGUGCGAGCGUUAAUCGGAAUUACUGGGCGUAAAGCGCACGCAGGCGGUCUGUCAAGUCGGAUGUGAAAUCCCCGGGCUCAACCUGGGAACUGCAUUCGAAACUGGCAGGCUAGAGUCUUGUAGAGGGGGGUAGAAUUCCAGGUGUAGCGGUGAAAUGCGUAGAGAUCUGGAGGAAUACCGGUGGCGAAGGCGGCCCCCUGGACAAAGACUGACGCUCAGGUGCGAAAGCGUGGGGAGCAAACAGGAUUAGAUACCCCAGUAGUCCCUGUCUCUUAUAC
rnacentral:rRNA from 1 species